CUUUUGUCAGUUGCGUUUUGGCCGUCAACGAUUUCAAGUCGAUUUCGAUUCAAAACGACCAAAAAGAAAAAAAAAAAAAACGGUCGGUGGUUUAGGGUAACCUUUGGCGAGUGUUUGUUUUAAGUAUUUGUUGAAAUAAGAAGUGGUAGCUGAAAGGCUUCAACAUCCGCAGUAUGAACAGAACCUUGUGCAAUGUUAUUGCAUAUCUAAGUGCCAUUAUUUGCGGUCUGAGUGUCAUAUUCCUGACUUUUCUACUGGUAGUUGGAUUGACUGUGCCGGAUGAAGAGCCAGAAAAGCCCGAAGAUGAACUUACCACCUGGGAUUACGUUGCAUUCGGCAUCGAACUUUUAACCAUGGUGGUGAUGUUCGUGGCCUCCGUUUUUCUAAUCAUUGGAAUUAAGAGGGAACGCCAUGCCUUUGUAGCUCCCUGGGUGUUCAUUGUUGCCAUCAAUGUUGUACUAAGCAUUAUUCUUUUAAUCAUGAAUCCCGACGAACUCAUUGCUGGAAUAGUUGGCAUUGUGCUUCAAGUUGCCUUCUGGUAUCCCAUAUUCAGUUUGUAUCGUGAAUUCCGUAAUGCACCAAGACAACAAAGUGUUGCCUACAAUGCCUGCCCCACAAAUGUGCCCGGUGGUGGUAACCAAUACCCACAAUAUCCCCAAUACCCACAGACCAAUGUCUACAAUACCCAAGCCCAGCCAGUCUAUCCCAACCUAACAAAUUAUCAACAAAAGUAAUAAAAAAAUCAACACCCUAAGAGCAACUAACCAAAAAGUUAAAAAAAAAAAACAAAACCUAAAAAAUGACGUCAUGAUGAUUGUGGAGCAACAACACAUUAAACAAGCCGGCCCACUCAACAAAGGGGAGACAGCGCUUAGCCGCAUAAACCGCGAACGAACAAAUGUAUAUUAAAAUAACCAUUUACCAAAGCUCCCCCCUGGUCAUGUCUAACUCAUCCAGAGGUCAGAGAGAUUAAAAUAGAGUAGAAUUCAAAACGAAAUAAGAAAAAAAGAGAAGUUAAAAUCCACAAGUGUUUUGCAUUUUGUUGUUCUUGUACUCAAGCUUGUUCUAUAUUAGCAGACCACAGAGGCGACCACACAAACACACGAUGAGGCUUCAGAAGGAAUUUCCUUCUUUUGUUUUCUAAUAAAUUGCCAAUAACACCAACAACAACAACAAUACCAAAAGCAAAAAUAAACAUGACAAAAAAGUCUACCGCGUAGAUUCUUUGUUUUUGCAUUUGCAUUUGUCUACCUCAGUCAUUGUUUUUGCGAGAGUAUUUGUUGAAGCGAGUUCAACAAGUUUGUAGUAUAAACCUUCCUUGACUUACCACAGAAUGCCCGCUCACGAAGAGCACUAAUGGAUACGUUUCAAAAAUUACAUUUAAGCUAUCUCAUUCUCAAACAUUCACUCAUUUCUCAAUUACUCAAUACUAUUGCACUCCUCUAGUUAUUACAUUAUCGUUCUAAUUGGUUUUUUUUUACAACAUCUCCCUGAGCAUUAAUUUGUUUCACAUAAGAACCGUUGUAAGAAACUUGGAGUCUACCCUGAAUUCAAAGGAAAGUGUGCAACCAGUCAAGUGUAUCGCUUUGAAAAGCUUCAGCUACAAGGUCAACUCCGUAGUAUUACGACAACUCCCGUGCCUCAUAGUGGAGUUAAGCGAUCCUCUGAUCUCAUUAGCAGAAUCCUGAUUCUGCUUCCAAAGCCCUUUGGGUCAACUUACAAAGGCAAUUCAACAUGGUCCAUUCGAGCCUCUUAAUCUGAUAUUAGGAGAAGGUGAAACCAACCGACAGCAAAUACAAAACAACAGAAAGCAGUCAGCAAAUUCUACGAAAAGACAACAUAGAAGGCGGUCACCAGUUCCACCAACUUCAUCAGUUUUUUCGGGAAGACAACGCCAUCAACUUCUAAGAGGAAGAUUUAAAUAGAACACGUCCGUAGUUUCUCUGCCAGGAUCAACUUCUACAAGAAAGCAACACCUACAAGGAAAACCUGGUUUGGAACAUAGCUUCAACCGACAAGAGAUGACUUGUUUCAAUAUAGUAAGGAAUAGAAGCGAUCGUCAAUGCCAGUCGCUACCAUUACCUAGUGCAGUGAAUACCCACGACACUGUUGAUUUGAAGGAGAGGCCUCACAUUGAGGCGGGAAUAUGUUGAAGCGAGUUCAACAAGUUUGUAGUAUAAACCUUCCUUGACUUACCACAGAAUGCCCGCUCACGAAGAGCACUAAUGGAUACGUUUCAAAAAUUACAUUUAAGCUAUCUCAUUCUCAAACAUUCACUCAUUUCUCAAUUACUCAAUACUAUUGCACUCCUCUAGUUAUUACAUUAUCGUUCUAAUUGGUUUUUUUUUACAACAUCUCCCUGAGCAUUAAUUUGUUUCACAUAAGAACCGUUGUAAGAAACUUGGAGUCUACCCUGAAUUCAAAGGAAAGUGUGCAACCAGUCAAGUGUAUCGCUUUGAAAAGUUAAGCCAAAUCUUUGUAUAAUAAAGCACAUUGAAAUCUACAAAA